rnacentral:rRNA from 1 species
AGAGUUUGAUUCUGGCUCAGGAUUAACGCUGGCGGCGUGCAUAACACAUGCAAGUCGAACGAUGAAACUUUAAUGAACCCUUCGGGAGGAAUUAAAGCGGAUUAGUGGCGAACGGGUGAGUAACGCGUGAGUAACCUGCCUUACACAAGGGGAUAGCCUUUGGAAACGAAGAAUAAUACCCUAUAAAACCAUAAAAGCACAUGCAAUUAUGGUCAAAGUAUUAGCGGUGUAAGAUGGACUUGCGUCUGAUUAGCUAGUUGGUGAGAUAAAAGCCCACCAAGGCAACGAUCAGUAGCCGGCUUGAGAGAGUGUACGGCCACAUUGGGACUGAGACACGGCCCAGACUCCUACGGGAGGCAGCAGUGGGGAAUUUUGCACAAUGGGGGAAACCCUGAUGCAGCGACGCCGCGUGAUUUAGGAGGCCUUCGGGUUGUAAAAAUCUUUUGUAUAGGAAGAAAAUGACAGUACUAUACGAAUAAGGUCCGGCUAAUUACGUGCCAGCAGCCGCGGUAAUACGUAAGGACCGAGCGUUGUCCGGAAUCAUUGGGCGUAAAGGGUACGUAGGCGGCUAGAAAAGUUAGAAGUCAAAGGCUAUAGCUCAACUAUAGUAAGCUUCUAAAACUAUUUAGCUUGAGAGAUGGAAGGGAAAGUGGAAUUCCUAGUGUAGCGGUGGAAUGCGCAGAUAUUAGGAGGAAUACCGGUGGCGAAGGCGACUUUCUGGCCAUUUUCUGACGCUGAGGUACGAAAGCGUGGGUAGCAAACAGGAUUAGAUACCCUGGUAGUCCACGCCGUAAACGAUGAGUGUUAGGUGUCUGGAGUCAAAUCUGGGUGCCGCAGCAAACGCAUUAAACACUCCGCCUGGGGAGUACGCACGCAAGUGUGAAACUCAAAGGAAUUGACGG